rnacentral:rRNA from 1 species
GAUGAACGCUGGCGGCGUGCCUAAUACAUGCAAGUCGAGCGAACGGACGAGAAGCUUGCUUCUCUGAUGUUAGCGGCGGACGGGUGAGUAACACUUGGAUAACCUACCUAUAAGACUGGGAUAACUUCGGGAAACCGGAGCUAAUACCGGAUAAUAUUUUGAACCGCAUGGUUCAAAAGUGAAAGACGGUCUUGCUGUCACUUAUAGAUGGAUCCGCGCUGCAUUAGCUAGUUGGUAAGGUAACGGCUUACCAAGGCAACGAUGCAUAGCCGACCUGAGAGGGUGAUCGGCCACACUGGAACUGAGACACGGUCCAGACUCCUACGGGAGGCAGCAGUAGGGAAUCUUCCGCAAUGGGCGAAAGCCUGACGGAGCAACGCCGCGUGAGUGAUGAAGGUCUUCGGAUCGUAAAACUCUGUUAUUAGGGAAGAACAUAUGUGUAAGUAACUGUGCACAUCUUGACGGUACCUAAUCAGAAAGCCACGGCUAACUACGUG